rnacentral:rRNA from 2 species
GUGAGGUCCGGAUGAGGCCACCACACGGUGGUCGAAUCUGGGCUUCGCAAGGGGGCUUAAGUCGUAACAAGGUAGCCGUAGGGGAAUCUGCGGCUGGAUCACCUCCU